GUUUCUUCCAAACCGCAGGGCUGGGUGGGUGGGGCUGUCUUGUGGUUCCAGGCAACGACCGCCAAUUUGUCACGCAGCCCCCCGAGCCUCACAGUGCUUCAGGGAGGCCCUGCCCACCCCCUCACCCCCAUCCUCGGCCCUGCUCUGUUCUUGCCUCCCUGCCGGGUCGGGAUGCGGAGCCGGCAGAAAGUGCACGCGCUCUGCCUGGAGGCGGUCAGGCCGCGCCGGCGCGCCGGGCUCGCUGCAGCCAAUCGGCGCGCGCACCGCGGGUGACCUCCCCCGGGCCCGGCAUAAAUCGUCAGGUUGCCCCGCCGCGGGUCUCAGUCUUCGGGGCCAAUUAGCAGAGCCGGUCAUGAGUGGCGCGGACGGCCUUCCGCGGGCCGGGGAGCGGCGCGGGCGGGCGGCGCGCUUCUCGGGGGCCGAGACCUCCCUGCGCCGCGGGUAGACGGCUGGCGCGGCCGCUGCCCGGAGCGCUCCCGGAGCCGCUGUCGGUCCCGCUUCCCCCGACCUCGGCCGCUCGGUGCCCGCACCCCGGAGAGGAGGGUUAGGCUGGCCCGGGUGAGGACGCCGCGCGGCCGCCACCCUCUCCCCUCGGACCCUCGGCUCGGCUCUCCAGCGGCCGAGGCGCAGCACAUGCCGCCUACCUGCGGACCUCAGAGGCGCCUUUCCCGGAGACUCUGAACUUCUGGAAAUCCCGAGACCGCGUCGUGGGUUUUGUUUUUGUCUUCAGCUUGGCUUUGGCUUUGGGAUUCUCUGGCCACCUGGAUAUUCCGUUCCUCUGUGGAAAAAUCUGGCUGGAGAGGCCCAUGCCGCGAGCACGUCACAUCCAUCAUUCUAUCAGAAUACAUCCAAGGGUGGGGAUGCAUUGUUCUCGGAACGGGCUGAGCCGGAGCCGGAGCAGAAAUCCUGAAGUCAGCCGUGCCUUUGAGCCGCCUCUAACAGCGCCCUUUGGAGACCCAUUUCAUACAAAAUUUGAAGCCUGUGUUUAUUGCCCAUUAAAGCAACCUUUAUUUUAUGGCAAA